rnacentral:rRNA from 1 species
AUUGAACGCUGGCGGCAGGCCUAACACAUGCAAGUCGAACGAGUGGCGGACGGGUGAGUAAUUUCUGGGAAACUGCCUGAUGGAGGGGGAUAACUACUGGAAACGGUAGCUAAUACCGCAUACCAUCGGAUGUGCCCAGAUGGGAUUAGCUAGUAGGUGGGGUAACGGCUCACCUAGGCGACGAUCCCUAGCUGGUCUGAGAGGAUGACCAGCCACACUGGAAGUGAGACACGGUCCAGACUCCUACGGUAGGCAGCAGUGGGGAAUAUUGAACAAUGGGCGCAAGCCUGAUGCAGCCAUGCCGCGUGUAUGAAGAAGGCCUUCGGGCUGUAAAGUACUUUCAUCGGGGAGGCGUUACCCGCAGAAGAAGCACCGGCUAACUCCGUGCCAGCAGCCGCGGUAAUUC